rnacentral:rRNA from 1 species
GACCCAUUGUCUUAUCCCCUAUUCUAUCCAAGGGGGGAACUAGGUUGGCAUCCGAAGCUACCUAAACGUAAUGUUCCUUGGGAGGUUGUACUAAAUCCUCAAUUGGGCCUUGAUGAUGACGAUGAUGCAGAGGGGAAUAGUAGGUUGUACGUCUCUGUCAGAGACUACUACUGUUACAUGCUGCAGACACGGCCUGCCAUUUUCAAUCCCAUACUCUGUGGAGCACGCCUGCUGCAGCAAUGGGUGGUUGACAUGUAUGUCAAGAUUGAGAGUUGUCGGUUGAGGUGGUUCAGGAAGAACCAGACGCAGAUUCGGGCCGACUUGUAUAAAGGAGUUGUUGAUGCGAUCACAUCGGGCGAGACGCGAGCAAGCGCUGUUGGGACAAGAACAGUGCUCCCUGGA